CCUACGGGUGGCAGCAGUGGGGGAUAUUGCACAAUGGGGGGAACCCUGAUGCAGCGACGCCGCGUGAGCGAAGAAGUACCUCGGUAUGUAAAGCUCUAUCAGCAGGGAAGAAAAUGACGGUACUUGACUAAGAAGCCCCGGCUAAAUACGUGACAGCAGCCGCGGUAAUACGUAUGGGGCAACCGUUAUCCGGAUUUACUGGGUGUAAAGGGGGCGCAGGCGGCCGGCCAAGGCUGGUGUGAAAACCCGGGGCGCAACCCCGGUCCUGCAUUGGAAACUGGCGGCCUUGAGUGUCGGAGGGGCAGGCGGAAUUCCUAGUGUAGCGGUGAAAUGCGUAGAUAUUAGGAGGAACACCAGUGGCGAAGGCGGCCUGCUGGACGGUGACUGACGCUGAGGCACGAAAGCGUGGGGAGCAAACAGGAUUAGAUACCCCGGUAGUC
rnacentral:rRNA from 1 species